GACGAACGCUGGCGGCGUGGAUUAGGCAUGCAAGUCGAACGGUAUCAUCCUUUCGGGGGUGAGAGAGUGGCGAACUGGUGAGUAACACGUAGGUUAUCUACCCUCAAGACGGGGACAACCCAGGGAAACUUGGGCUAAUACCGGAUGUGAGCAACUUUUAGUUGUUUGAAAGGUGGCGUAAGCUGUCGCUUGGGGAUGAGCCUGCGUCCUAUUAGUUAGUUGGUGAGGUAACGGCUCACCUAGGCAAUGAUAGGUAGGCGGCCUUAACGGGUGGUCGCCCACACUGGGAUUGAGAUACGGCCCAGACUCCUACGGGAGGCAGCAGUCGAGAAUAGUCUACAAUGGUCGGAAGACUGAUAGUGCGACGCCGCGUGAACGAUGAAUCCCUUCGGGGUGUAAAGUUCUUUUAUAUGUGAGCAGUGCUUCUUAUAUUAACAGUUAUGGGGAAGAGAUAUUAGCAUAUGAAUAAGCAACGGCUAACUCCGUGCCAGCAGCCGACGGUAAAA
rnacentral:rRNA from 1 species